GACUCUGUAGCUCAGUUGGUUCGAGCACUGCACUCGAGUCGCAGGGCCGCAGGUUCGAUUCCUGCCAGAGGGU